UCCGGGGGGGGCAAGCGUUGUUCGGAAUUACUGGGCGUAAAGGGCUCGUAGGCGGCCAACUAAGUCAGACGUGAAAUCCCUCGGCUUAACCGGGGAACUGCAUCUGAUACUGGAUGGCUUGAGUUCGGGAGAGGGAUGCGGAAUUCCAGGUGUAGCGGUGAAAUGCGUAGAUAUCAGGAGGAACACCGGUGGCGAAGGCGGUUCUCUGGGCAUGUCCUGACGCUGAGGAGCGAAAGUGUGGGGAGCGAACAGG
rnacentral:rRNA from 1 species